rnacentral:lncRNA from 1 species
GUGUUGCAGAAAUCCGGCAAUCGACCUGAGGACUUGCGAGCCGCUCAGCUCCCGGGACGUUUGGAGCUGCUGCUAAAUAAUUUCUGCUCAGCCAUGUCGCCGGCUCCAGAUGCAGCCCCGGCUCCUGCGUCGAUCUCCCUGUUUGACCUCAGCGCGGAUGCUCCGGUCUUUCAGGGCCUGAGCCUGGUGAGCCACGCGCCUGGGGAGGCUCUGGCCCGGGCUCCGCGUACUUCCUGUUCAGAGGGAACAUUAUAAGCUUGACUGGCAUCGGUUUAACCUAAAGCAACGUCUCAAGGACAAGCCUCUCCUGUCUGCCCUGGACUUUGAAAAGCAGAGCUCCACAGGAGAUCUUUCCAGCAUCUCGGGAUCAGAAGACUCAGACUCAGCCAGUGAGGAGGACUUGCAGACACUGGAUCGGGAGAGGGCUACAUUUGAGAAGUUGAGCCGACCCCCAGGCUUUUACCCUCAUCGAGUUCUUUUCCAGAAUGCCCAGGGCCAGUUUCUUUAUGCCUACCGCUGUGUCCUAGGCCCUCAUCAGGAUCCCCCAGAAGAGGCAGAACUGCUGCUACAGAACCU